UGUUGUGAUUAUGUGAUAGUGUGUGUAGGUCCGUGAUUGUGUGUGUGUAUAUAUAUAUAUAGACCAACAUAACUAUAGACACACACACACACAAUCACAGACCUACACACACAAUCUCCUACAUC